GCCGGCAGCUAGCUCUCUGCAACUUUUACAUGGUCGCCCACUAAAGCUUAGCAGGGCUGCACCAGCUCAGUACCUGUAUGGGAGACCACAUGGGAAAGCUAGGUUGCUGCUGGAA
rnacentral:rRNA from 1 species